CCCCCAAAAUGAAAUUAGGCCUUAUUAGUGAAAUAGUGGACAAAUGUACAUAUUACAAUGGGGAGGGAGAUAAAAGGAAGGAUAAGUUCAUUAAAUGGGCAACAUUGAGAAUGACAUAAGACUUCAUACAGUGAAUAAUAUUGAACUAAGACUUGAAAGAGGAGUACUUACUGUAUGAGGCUGACAUAUAACAUGCAGUCCUUUCCAACCUAAGGGACAUGAUCCAUUCGUGAGUCUCAGUCGCUGGGCAGUGUGUCCAAGAAAAUGGUUAUAAACAAUAGUACCUGUUUGGGAUUGAUUCCUUUUUAUUUAUUUUUAGAAUAGGGUGGAUUCAAAGUUCCUCUUGAAAUGAGUUUGCUCAAUCCUUCAUAUUCUGCUAGGCUUUCUUAGAUACAAAAGAAAGGGGCUGGAGUUACAGCCACCCUGCCAGGGUUCGUGCCGUUCACCAGUGCUCCCAUGAGGUUUGGUCCCUCAUGUAAAUGGCAUCUUCUGUGUAGGCUGUGUUGGGGGAAGAAAACAUGGCAAACUGUUGCCAUGAUAUGUACUCUACUGUCAUUAAUUUCAUAACUGUAUGGAUGAGCCUAUAUAACACCUUGUGGCCAUUUCAUGUGAAAUAAUAGCUGAUAUUAAUAACAAAACAACGUGAGAAAACAAACACAAUUCUUGUGUAUUUCUCCUACUAACUGGAAUGGAAUCAGUUCAUUAUCUGUUAAUUUUUUUUUAACCUAAUUGCCAAGUUCUACCCUUGAUUUUGUCUGCUCCAAAUAUGGAAGUGGAUGCUCAGAGUCUGAGAUCUUCAACAAUGGAAAUUAUAACCUGCCAGGACCCUGUCAUCUUGCCCAGUCAACAGGCCCGCCUUCCUCUAAAAUCACUGCAGAUGGCAGAUCUCCAAAGGCAAGAAAAGAGCCAACUAAAAAUAGAUGGUUUUAGGCAAAUGCUGUAGUUAAUCAGAUAACUGCUAUCUGAAACAUGCAGAUACCAAAGCAUUUUAAAAGAUAGACACAAUCAUUCUCAAGAGAACGCUUAAUGAUCUUAUUCAUGUUGUAUUUGUUAAAGUGGAACUUCAAAAUCAUCGACAUUGGGCCUUGUUACAAAUGGAAUUUGAUUCCUAUGGUGUUUUACACUUAAUUACUUUUGAAAUGUGACUAACCAGAGUUUAGAAAUCUAAUUAUAUGUAGUUAGUCAUUCUUGGUGAUUCAAGAUAAAGUCAUUAACUUCUAAGCAUUUGUCUCAUUUAUUCUAGAUGAAUAAAUGUACCUUUCUAAAA
rnacentral:lncRNA from 1 species